GAGAACCCACGCAUGCAUGGGGAGAACAUGCAGACUCCAUACAGAAAGGCUCCUAUCAGAUGGGGAUUCAAACCAGUAACCUCCUCGCUAUGAGGCAACAGUGCUAACCACUGCACCACCGUGCAACCCCACAAUCUCAAAACCAGCGAUAUCCAAGACUCCAAUGAAGAACUGUCUUGGCUGCUUUGUGUCCAGCAUCUCAUUGAUUCGGACGACCAUCCAUGCGAACAUUUUCUCAUAAAUGGACUUGCAGAGAGCGCUGACAGAAUUGUUGACCUAAAAAUAAAGAUUUAAUUUCUCAUUA